rnacentral:lncRNA from 1 species
UUUUGAAAAUCAUUGCUACAUUUUGGCUGUUCUGGGGUUUUUACCUCCUAGAGUAAUGAAAGAUGGUAAAAUCUAGGAGGCAUGAAAUAAGAUGUAAAUUGGGGAAGAAAAAAGAAGAAAAGUUAGGAAAAGAGGCAGAACUCAACUACAUGUUCCUUCUUCAGCAGAUCAAUUUUGUUUCUGUGCACUUAAGAGAGUUGAAGAUCUGAAACUCGAUUCCUUUAAAACAUCACUUUUUGUGUACUCUUGAGGAAGAAUGAACCCCCCAGGGUAUUCAUACCUUACCAGUAUAAAGAAUGAAGAUAUUCACUAUUUCAGAUGAUAUUCUCAGACACCAAAGGUUAUACUUUUACUUCCUUCUUAAUAGCAUACAUAAAUUUUGGAAGCACUGCAUUACAGUAAAGGGUCUCUGAAAUAAUCUUCCUUCAAGAGCAAAGAAAGUUUGUCUCGUCUACUUAAUUAAAUUCUCCAGAAUAACUCCUGGUGCUUUCCAAAUAUAUGUAAGUAAUAAAACCUUGUGGAAUGGGUGAGUGAAAGUUACGGAGAAUAAAUGUGAUGCAUAAACACCUAGUUCAAAUUUGGUCAGCUUUCUGUUCAUCUGCCAGUUUCUUCUAAGGGCGUCAGAACCUUGGUCCUAAUAGGCAGUUCAGCCGCCAUUUUAGAACUGUAGCAGGGAAGUAAGUGAGACUGUUCCUGCUGGUUUUGAUGUCUGGCUGGGGCUCCAAAGCAGAGCACAGUGGGUGUUAAAUGCCCACACAUUCUAGAAAGGUGCUAGACCAUCUAGGCAGAAUUUGUUGGAAGGUGGCCCAAAUUGGUUCCAAACAUCUAACCUAUCACCACCUCCAGCCUAUACAUAAAAGGAGGCUAGUAAAUUAAUGGGUGAGAACUGACAAAUGAAGAUUUCCUUAAGAAAAAUUUUGGAGUGCUAUUUUUUUUUCCUCUCCCAUUUCUUGGAGGGGGCAGGGGGCGGAGAAUGUGCUCUUCUUCAACUUAAGCCAAAUAAAUAGGACUCCAAGAGAAUCAUCCGAAGGGUGGGGAGGUAUAAACACUCAUGCCUGACUCUCACUGUAAAAGAAAUAGCUCAAAGCUGUCUGGUGUUAGCUGAGAAGCAGAACAAAGAGAGAGGGCUCCAUAGGGGAUGGCUUUUAUUUCCAGUGUUUGCUGGAAAAAGAUAUGAGUUUUUCCUUAGAUUAAGAGGUUGUUGAGUAAUGUAGGCAAGCUGGAGCCUGGAUGGCGUGACUCCAAGAUCUGUGUGGGACAUUUGCAAGAAGAGAGCAGCUGGAGAGGAGAAUGUGGGAGAUAUUUGAAGAAAUUUCAAGAGAGAAUAUUGAUAUUUAGGCACCGGCCUUCCAGAGAGCUACAAUUUUCACUUUAAAACAGUACCAGUCAAGUAAGAACUUUCUCUCCUUUUACCUCCUCUUCUUCUCACCAACCUCCUUCCACCCUUGAAAAUAUAGGAAUGAUGACCUAGAAGCACCAGAGCAAAUGUAGGAGUGUUGGAACAUGGAGAGUAAAAAGGCCCCCACUUCCCACUUUUUGUUACAGGUUUUCUAGCAAUGGCGUCUGAGGUGUGAGAGAAGUUUUGAUUGGGUAUGAGACUGGAACUAUAGUAUUAGAUUUCACUGGAUAUUUAAUACUUGAAAAUGGGACUUUCUUAACAAUGAAGGUGGCCAGAAAACAUUCAGAUCUGAUAUGAUUUUCUGUUGGUGAUGGGAGAUCUAAUAGCAAGGAAUUGUGAGAAACUAUAGUCAUUUCCUGUUGAUUGUUCCAUGUUUAACUCAAACUGGUUACAUAACAAUACCCAAUAUGUUCUUUUUUUAACCCAAGAUUUCAAAAUGAUUUGUUGAGAGCUCAUUCAUAUCCUCUAAUGUGAACUUCUUUAUAACCAAUUUUAAUGAACUAUGCAGUAGAAUCUGAUGUGAGUAUCAAAAGGAACAGAGAAGUUAUACUUCAGUGUAGGAAGAGAGAAUGUCAGCCCACUGCCUUAACUCAGUUGGCAUUUUGAAGAAAAUUGACAGAGCCCACCUCCAGAUUUUAUUGGGGUGGGGGAAAGAAGAGAAAAUGGAAGAUAUGUUUUAAACCACUUUUGGCAGGAAAAGUCAUUUCCCUAUUUAGAGUCUGGAAUAAAAAUGUAGUUCCCAUUAAGUAAUUUUUACUUACUUCUGUAUAACCCAAUUAAACACCCCUCAUAUUCCCACUCUCCUGCAGUAACUCAGAUACGACUUAAUCCAAUGUCAUGUGGGCACCGUGCUUCUACGUUUUCGUCUUAACUUUCUAAAUUCCCAAAUUCUUCAUCUCACUAGCUUCAAGUGAAUUUUUCAGUGGGAAAGUACUCUGAAUAAUAUGUAAUAUUUCUUGUGUGUUGCCUUUGUGACAACUUGUUCUAAGCACUUUAUGUGUAUUACUUAUAUUACUAUAACUUCUAUACUAUAAGUUAUUACUAUAACUUCUAUUGUUGGUAUCAUUGUUAUUCUCAUUUAAAGAUGUUUCAGUAGAGGCACAGAAAAGCUGAAUAACUUUUAUUGCUGGUAAGUGUAGGGCCUGAAUUUGAAUCCAGGCAUCUUGCUCUAGAGCCCUAACAUUUUCCAAUCUCAUUAUAAACUGCCUAUAAAAGAAACUUGCUUUUCCAUUCCAGGUUGACAGGCAGGGUGGCAACACAUAUAAAAAGCAUCUUAGGUUCCACUAGUCAAUCUCUUUUUGGAGUAGCUUCCACUGGAAUUCUAUAGGUGUUGAUUCAUUUUUACAUAACCAAUGUCUGUAAACCUGAAGAUCAAAUUCUUAUGGUAGGAAAUAAGACAGUUUUAAAGAUCAAAUUUCCAAGUUCAGGGACCAUGAAAUGUCAAUUGAAAACCAGGAGUAAUGAGCUGUAAAGAUAAAUCAAUACAUGGAAAGACAGGAUGAGUAUUUUAAGCAGCUGAAAUAACUUGUACUUACACAAAAAGGAAGAAAAUAUCUGACCACAUCAGACUGUAUUUUCCUGAGAUCGCUGCAAAAAUCUCUCUCAUUCCACCAGCUCUACUACCAUAAGUUUGGAAAAUAUAAUCUGCCACAUUGACCUAAAUGUUAAAAAAUAAGCAAUAAUUACCAAGUUCCUUACAUCUCCCUUCAUAGGAAAAACUCGGAGUUUAUAAAUUUCAGAAGCUUAACACCCAUAUUGUAAAAUUUCCCUUUCAUAUUAUUGAUGUUGCCAGCACCCUCUUAAUGCCAUUUCUUUUGCUGUGCCAAUUAUUUUUCAAUGACAGUGACAUAAGAAGUAAUGUGCCAUCUGCAUGGCCUUUUACUGCAUUAUGUUCUCCUAGGAUAGUCUUCUAGGGCCUUUGUGACUCCUGCUUCCUGGGAGCCAUUCUAGACUCUUCUCUGAGUGCCAUGCUUCUUCCCCAGCAUCCUACUUCUCCAGCCCCCCUACCAUUCUAGCUGUGUGGGCUACCCCAUCCUGCUAACUGGAAGAUGGAUUUCUAUUAUCAAACAUAAUUUAUUUCAAGGAAGAUAGGGUACCAUUUAGAAACCUAUCUUUUUGGUUAUACUGCAAAUCUCAAUUUGUUGUCUAUUAACUGCCAGGAGUAUACUCAUACUGCAAAUCUCAAUUUGUUGUCUAUUAACUGCCAGGAGUAUACUCAUCUCUCUAAAAGGUUAUUAUUGGGGAAAGGGGUCUUUCCUCUUCAGGUCCACACAGCAGCAGCUCUCUAAUGAAGUUUUGAAAUAUGAGCUGUGAAGGAGCCAGAGGCAGUGAUGGUGCUUUACUGGCCAGCAGUUGUUAGUUUCUCAGUGGUCUAAAGGGAAAUAUCCAAAAACCAACCUGACUUAUGGAGAACUGUGAGAAAAAUACUCUUAACACUUUAAGGUGGCAAUGCCAACAUUCAAUGGCCUCUCCCUCCCCUUUGAGGAAGCUUCCUGGCGCCAGGGUGACAGAAUGAGAUGUAUGAGGUCUGGUUUAGAUGUCUUCCAAGCUGGCCUUUUGUCUGCUAUCCCAGCAUCACAAAAAUAACUUAGGGUGAGAAAUUUACAGGCCAGCAUGUAAAUUCCCUCAUUACUUUAUUAAAUAGUUUGAAAGGAACAUGAUUAAGAAAUUAAAUUCAAUCGAAUGUUACUGUAACUGGUUUUUCAUGAUAAGCGUUUUUCUUAAUGUUAACAGAAGGCUGAUCCUUUGUGUGGAUUGAAUUGUGCCCCCUAUAAGACAUGUCCAAUUGCUAACCCCCAGCACCAGUGAAUGUGAGCUUAUUUGAAAAUAAGGGUUUUGCAGAAAUACUCAAGUUAGCAUGAGGUCAUACUGGAUUAGAAUGGGCCCUAAAUCCAGUGACUGGUGCCCUUAUAACACAAGGAGAGAACACAGAAAGACAUACACAAAAGGCACAUGGAAAUUGGAGUGAUGCAGCUAUAAGCCAAGCAAGGCCAAGGACUAUGAGCAACCCCAGAAACUACACAGAGUUAGGGGAAGGAUUCUUCUAGAGCUUUCAGAGGAGCAUACCCCUGCCAACACCUUGAUUUUGGACUUCUUUUAGUCUCUAGAACAGUGAGGGACUAUAUUUCUGUUGUCAUAAGCCAUCCAGUUUGUGGCAAUUGUUACAGCAGCCCAAAGAAACUAAUGCAGCCCUAUAUAUGAAAAAUAUGGUAAUAACCUUACAUUUUUUUUCAAGGAGAAAUAAAUAUAGUAGCUUAGAACACAGAUUCUGAAACCAAACUUACUGGGUUUAAAUCCCAUCUCUGCCAGUUACUAGCUAUAUGAAAUUGAGCAACUUAACCUCUCUCUUUCUCAAUUCCUUCAUCUUUAAGUGGGGAUAAUAAAAGCGUAUAGAUUAUAGGGUUGUUAUGAGUAUUUUAAAAGUUAAUAUUUGUAUAGAACUUAGAACAGGACCCUGCACAUAUUAAAUGCUAUAUAAGUGCAUAAGUGCUUUUUCAUUUGGUAGGGUCUUUCCAAUAUAUUCCCUCAUAGCCACCCCUGAAAAAUGUUUUUCCACCACAAAAUCUUACCUUUGUUUGCCUAUUACCCCUUCGGUAAUUUCUCUUAACAUUAAACUCUAUCAAACUUAGAGUUAACUAAUCUUGAAACAAAUUUAUGACAUGUUCCUGCUAUUUAAUUAUUGCAAAAAAUAAGCAGAAAUGUAUUUAUUUGUUGAGUGUUUAUCAAGCAUCUACUGCACACCAAUUUUUGUGUUUGAAAAAAAUAAAUUCAUACUCUAUAAUAAUAGAGUCUAUAGUCUAGUGGAAAUAUUGAAUGUUGGAGUAAUUCACUAUAUACAUUCUCCUUUGAUAUGAAUACUUACUUGAAUUACUGGAAGCAGAAACAUUAAAAUUUAUAGAAUUCAACAUUAUUUGAAACUUUGAUUGCAUUUUGUAUUUGCAAACACGUCUUCCAUCUUUUCACAUCCUACACCUUGCAUUUUGCUACUCCUCAGAUCCUGUUUCAGGAGGAUAUGCCACUCUUAUUUACAGAGAGGAACUGGAGUCUUGGCUUAGACCAAAUGUAAAGGAGUCUCCCCUUAUCUGUGGGGUCACUUUUCUGAGUUUUCACUUACCUGUGGUCAACACAAUCCGAAAAUAGGGAGAACAGUACAACAAGAUAUUUUGAGAGAGAACACAUUUAUAUAACUUUAAUUACAGUACAUUGUUAUAAUUUUCUAUUUUCUUCUUUGAUAUUGUUAAUCUCUUACUGUGCUUAAUUUAUAAAUUAAACCUUAUCAUAUGUAUGUACAUUUAGGGAAAACAUGGUGUAUCUAGGGUUCGGUACUACUUGCAGUUUCAGGCAUCCACUGGAGAUCUUAGAAGGUAUCCCCUGUGGAUAAGGGGGGAUUACUAUACUAUCAUUUCUUAUCAGUUUGAUAUUCAAUGGUUUCUCUUUGAGAUGCUAAAAUGUUAAAUGAGUUUUUGCAUAUUAAUUAAGUCUAGCCACACAAAUCAGAAGAAACUAGGAAUGGGACACAUGGAAAUAGGUGACACCUGCCCCAGCUUUCUAUCUGGUAUAUUCCUUAUUUUUAGAUAUGAAAAUAUCUUUUUUUGUGUCAGGACCACUGAUUAGCAAUGACACAAAAAAUUAGAGCUUUUAGUGAUCACUGAAGUUAUUUCAGUAUGCUUUGACUAAGGAUUUGUGUCCCUCCCCAGUGAAUUUGGGGAGGGAUGGUCCCUUCUGUCCGUUUGUUUAAUACCCCACAUUUCUCUGAGAAGUCCUAUCAUUUUGAUCAUUUCUAAUUUAAACGGAAGGACACCCUUUGUGCAUUCUUUUCUCGUUGCUGUUUCCAACAGCAGUGGUUUAAAUGGGAAGGCUGAGACUAUAGAUUCCACCACAUCACUUGAAAUGCCAACUUGGCAGUAAUCAUUUUAUUCUUUUUAGUUCAGAACAUGUAUUUUAAAAAUGAAUGGGUAUUGACUAGUUAACAACUAGAGAUUUUUUUUCCAGGAAACAAUUUCCUAGACUUUAAACCAAAAUUUGGAGCUCAAGAAACACUAAAGAAGACAGUACUCUAUGUAAAGUAGUUAUUAAUUGGGGUUUCACUGUAGGUCUAUAUGCAAAUCUUAACUUUUAACCAAAAAAUAUAUAACAAUAUAAAGUGCAAAAAGUUUAAGCUUUACACAGAAAAUGUAUGAUACAAAAUCACUUUUAACUUAAAAGGCAGUUUAAAGUUUAUCUGUGAAGAAAGAGAAACAUUUUGUACAUAAAUCCUCCCAGUUUUCAUUGACAAUGAUGGUGUUAUUUAAGCAUCCCUGUAAUUAAAUGUCACUUUAAAAAUAAUGGACGUGUCAGGGUAUCUUUUUAAAUGGAAAAAAAGUAUAUUUUUGUAGUAUUAACAGAAGUAAUACUCAACCAAGAUUUCCCAAAUUACAGAAUAAAAUUAAUAUCUUCUUUUUUUCCCCCAGCAGUGAUCUCUUUUCUAUGAUUCCUUUUCUGUGAACAUUCAGGACUAUCUGAACGAAAUGGGACCCCCAUCUCCUGCCACUUCUGGAGAACAAACAACCCACUCAAAACCAUUUACCCAUCAUCACUGUCCAGAUCAUUGCACAGGGUGGGUUUAUAUGAUAUGCCCACUCUGAAAAUGUGGCUAAGUAUUCCAAUCAUAGCUGUUGCCAGUGUUUCCCACCAUUGCUGUAUACUCUUAGUAAAUGGUAGUUGUUAAAAAUAUAAAAUAGGCUUGCUUCAUGAGAAGAAGAAAGUACUUUCUCUUGUAAAGUUCCUUUAAGCAUUGGCAUAGUAAGUGUUCCUUUUCUCAUUGAUACCAUAGUUUUUUUACUGUGUUUUGUUUUGCUUUCUUCAGAUUUUAAAGGAAAAAUAAGGUGAUGUUGCUGAUUUUCAGAAAUAUUUUCAGCUUCAGAUAUCUGUGAUAAAAAUGAGAAAAAAGAAGUGGAUGUUCUGUCAGAAGGUAUUGGUGAGAUAGGAGACCCAGAAUUGGGAGAAGCAGCUUAGAUGGAGAGCAACUUAAAUGGGAGAAGUGAUGAACAUGCGUGAGAAAAAAGUGACUCUGCUCCCUUUGUGAUCGGGGCGAACAUGACUAACUGAUCCAGGAAUUUGUUUCAUUUGGUCACGAAUGGGCUUUGCAAAUCCUUCCUAAUGACAUGACAGUGUCACCUACUGGCAAAGCAGGACCCUAUGAGGCAUCUAAAGGGAGAUUUAGCCAGAUAUGUUGUUUAUCAGAAGCCAGGUACUUCCUCCACUUUUCAUCCUCCCUACUUUUCCUUUCUACAGAAAUGAUUUUUUUUCAGGACAGUAAUUUAAUAAACAUACAUACUUUGUGCUCAGCACUCUACUAAAUGCUUUUAUAUACAUUAUUUCAUUCUACAUUCACCAAAGUGUAAAGAGAUAGGUGCAUUUCCAUUUUCUAGAUGAGGCUCAGAGAGGUAAAACAACUUAAACAGACAGAAAGUUGUAGAAUUAAGAAUGAUACAUGUUAGACUCCAGAAAGCAUGCUCUUUAGCUCUGUAAUAGAUCAUUCUGUCUCUUCAGUUUAAAUGCAAGGGACAUUAAUACCUCUCUAGAAUUUUACUCAAUUCUAUUGUCUUCCUCCUAAUUUACUUCUUAACUACCUAAUUCUUGAAACGGAUUAGAAGCAGAUGUAAAGAAGUGUCCUUAUUUUCUUCUAGGUAUGUCUUUGCAUUAUUGAAGUGUAUCUCAUUCUUUAGAUUGCCUAGUCUUAAAGUCCAGGUGGCUAAGUUUAUUCAAGCAAUUAAUUGGUUGAUUGAGAGGUAAAAUACUAUAAAACUGAUUGAUUGACUAGCAUGACAAGACUCCGUAUAAAAGUGGAUGUAUUUGUUCAUCCAUUACCUAUUUCUUAACAUUUUCUAGAAAAUUAAGUAGCUACAAUAUACAAAAAUAGAAUAUAGCAUAAAUAUAAAUUAAAAGAUGUAAUAAUGAAUCUACUUUUACCAGGUGUAGUCCCAGCUACUUGGAAGGCUGAGGCAAGAGGAUCACUUGAGACGUUCAAGGCUGUAGUGCACCAUGAUUGCCCCUUGUGAAUAGCCACUGAACUCCAGCCUGAGCAACAAAGUGAGACCUCAUCUGUAAACAAACAAACAAAACUGCUCCUGAAUUUCAAUGUCAAUUUAUUGUAGAAAUCUUAAAAACUUAAUCCUCCUAAAAUAAUGCUGUUUUUAGGGGCAACACAUAAUUGUGUACAAUUUCAUGUUUCUUUUGAAGUGAUAAUUAAAAAUAAUUGAAACAGUUAUUAAAGAAUAAAGACAUUGUGACAAAGAAAUGACCGGGAACCACAUAAAGCAAGAUAUUUUGUACUUUCAAAUAAUGCUGAUUUUUAGGGCUAACAAGUUUCAGUAGUAGCUUAAUAAAUAUACAUUAAGAAAUGCCCUUUCUGAAUUCCAUUUUAUGAUGUUCAAGUACAAAAAAUAUUCAUCCAUUGCGACUUUGAACUGUGAAAUGGUCAAUGAAGAGGUGAGCGGCACUUAACUUGAAGCUAAUGUCUCAUCGAAUUGUUCGAACUUCACUCCUUGGUCAUAAGGUUUUCCAGAUCCAGAGCAAGGUAGCCAUAUGGCAUUGAUAUUCGAAAUACAAAGCCAAGUAUCGGUUUUAAAAACAGUAUUAUUGAUUUUUUUCUUCUUUUCCAAUUUUCUCUUUUUGAAAUUGUGCUGCUACAAAUUUGAAUUUUAAAAUGUCUUAUUUUUCAAAUUUGUAUUGUUUCAUCUAUUGAAUGGUUUUUACUUUAAGGAAGUUCAGAAAGUUUUUAUGUUCUCAGCCAUUCUUUUUUAUAGAAAAUAUCUUAAAAACUGAAAAGCCUCUGAAAGGCUCAGGUGAACGAAAAUAGAAAAAAAAGUAUCUAUCUCACUCUUCUUUUUAAUUCCUCUUUAAUGCUUCCCUUACAAAUAUAUUGGAAAGAAAACUAUUUAGGUGGUACAAGGCUUCUCCCUGGUUUCAUUUUUCUUGCUCGUAUAUACAAUUAAUUAUUUGUGGCAGCAUUAUUUUUACUUUGGAGCCCUGAUUUCCCACAAUUAUUGGUCUGAUGGAGCUCAGACCUGUGUUUCAGAGUUAAAUACUCUUCCAAGAAUUUCCACAUUAUAAAACUCCCCAACCAGCACUAAACUGUACACAUAAAAAUUGUAAAAAUGGUAAAUUAUAUAUGCAUAUUGUACCUUACAAUUUUUUUUAUAAAAAAUAAAGAUUUUUUUAAAAAAAACAAACAAAUACCUCCUGCCCCACAAAAAAAAUUUCUCACCCCAUCCAAGUACCAGUCACUAGACUCUAACAAACAGUUCGGAAUUCAACUGGUGUCCAAAAGGUUAACAACAUUACCAAGGUGAAGGAACCAAAUCGGUAUCAUACACUGGAGCCAUGGGGAAGCUUUUGGAACUAGGAUUUCUGAGAACUUUUUACCAUAUACAGCAGGGAAAUCUUUGUAAAAAGGAGGAAAUUGGUAUAGUAUAUUCUGCUGCUGGCACGAAACGUGUUUUUACCAAACUAAAGUAUCCUGUAGUUCAAAAAUGUUAUCACAAGAUUCCAUUUGUGUAUCUAUUUAAAGUUUUGGUAUAUUUUCAAUAAAAAUUAAUAAAAAUAUUUCUUCUCAUAAUAUGUGGUUUAAAUCCAGAUUAUUUCACAAUAUGUGGUUUAAAUCCAGAUUAUUUCACUGUAAUAUGUCUUGAUAGAGUUUUAGAAUAUUGAAAUAGGGUAUUAAGAUGCUUUAAAUCGAUUACUGAUUUGAACAUUGUAAGUGUAUAUUUCUAUUUGUGUGUGUGUGUCAUAUUCAAAUAUGAUUAAUCAUGUAUGUUGGUGUGUGAACAUAUGCAUAUAUAAAGCAUUUUUAUCAGCUGUUUCUGGCUUCAUACCACAGAGAACAAUCUGAACUGUCAAAGAAAAUUAAACCUUGAGUAAGAAUUCCUCAAGCUAGUGCAUAUCAUUUGUUGUUUUCAUUUUCCUGAAAUGAAAAUAUUAGCGUUG